UUGGAGUUAAAUAAAGGUAUGGUACUUCAAUUUGCUCCAAAAAAUUUAACAAGAAUGCUAUAACUAAACACUUCUUAAUUUUUAACAAUAAAAAGAUAUGGAAUAAGUUAAAAUAUUUUUUUUUUAGUGAAGAUAAAGGAGGAGAUUGGUAUAAAUUGUAUAAUUUACUUUUAAAUUAAUUUUCAAUUAAAAAGCUAUGACAUGCUGUAAUGUUUCAUUAAAAUAUCUUUUAGCUCGCAUAUCUAUUAGCUCGCAAAAAAGAGGAACUUGCUGCUGCAGAGCAAAUUAGUUACGAUUUACCAACCUCAUCGGUGUCAUCACUAUUUCUGCCACCUGGCGCCAACAAUUCUGAAGAAAACCUUAAAAGUUUGUCAAUGAUGGAUUUUCUUAUUUGGCGCCAAAGCCACCCUGAGCCUAAAUCAAAUCGGGCUUUUCGUAUAUGGGGCCAGAAUGGAGGCUAAGACUUGCCUAAUUUUAAAUUUCUGCCUCUUGGUAGCAGAAGGAGUGGCAGAAGAGGCAGGAAAACAAACCUUGUUGUAAGACUAUACUUACAUGAUUAGUAAUAGUAACACUAUACAUACACGAUUAAUAAUUUGUUUUGUAAUAUGAAAAGCGAAAAUUUCAUAGAAUGGUUUCAUUCAAUUUUUUUAGUUCAUGCAAACAAACUUCAAUGGAUAUAAAGUUCUAUUUUUAGACGGCCAUGCAUCUCACAUUAAUUUUGAAUUAAAAAUAUUAUCUGAAUCAAACAGCAUAAUGUUAUUCUGAUAUCCAACUCAAAAAAGUCAUUUUUUGCAACCACUAGAUGUCGGAAUUUUAAAACAGUAAAGGCGGAAUUGAAGCGAAUUGUAGAAAUUUACUUGGUUAGAAAUUCUUAUUUAAGUUUCCGGCAGUUUUCAGCUAUGCUAAAAGACCUUAUUGCAACUAAAAGCUAUAAAGGGAAAAUACACGUAGUGGUUUUGAAAAUACAGGCAUAUUUCCACUCAGUCGUUCAAAAAUAACUCCAAAUAAAAAUGCAAUCGGUGCUAUUUUUCAAGAUGUAACAAAUGACAAAAUUGAGAAUUUUUUUUCUGGAAAGUCUACUGAUUCACAAGUUUCACUCAAUAAAAACUAAUAAAAUAAAUUCAAAAAACUCUAUGAAUAGACUUUCAACAAAAGAAGUAUUGCCCAAAGAAUCAGAUAACAUCAAAAAUGCCGUUAAACAAGCAUCUUAACAUAUCAUAACAAGCAUAUUAAUAUAUCAGUGCUCAGUGUGCUUAGAUAUAGAUUAAAGCCUCUUUCCAGUAGUAAAGAAAAGGGAAAAAUAAUUAAAAGAACAACAAGUUACAACAUGACUGAAUUAUUCGCAUUGGCUCAGGACUAAGCAACACAAGCUGCAAAAAAAAAAGAAAACUAGAUGAAAAAGAAGCCAGAAAAGUUGUUAGAGAAAAAAAAAUUGGAU